AAUUCAGGCUCAGGCUGCAACAUCAGCUUUUAUCUAUGUCUUCAGGCUGCUAACCAGCUCUACAACUUUGGACUUUACAGCCACCAGAAUUGUAGUUCACAGGGUGUGUGUUUCUGCCAAGUCACCUGUCCUAGGAACAGAGAGCUUCGGUUAAGUCUCAGGAGCCCAGGAGAAGACAAGGGGAUAAAGUGGGCAGCCAUGUAGAAGAAGCCAAGUGAAGAGCUAUAGGGACCUAGAAGACGGAGUCGUCACACAAUGGAAGAAUCCCAGAUCUCUGAGUCACCAUUUGGGCAAUAAUCUACCAGGACAGGUGCCUGAACAGGAACCCUGGACUUUGUGUGAGUGAGAAACAAACUUUUAUUGUGUUAAGCCACUGAGAUUUUGGGUUGGUUUUUAGAGCAGCUGGUGUUGCUUACACUGACUAAUACAUCUUGGAAGUAAAUGAUGCAAAACAAUUCUACUUAUUCACAGGGGGUGGUAUUUAUAAAGGAAAAGAAUAAUAGGGUGGUGUCAAUGUGGAGUCCUGAUAAGUAAGCAACAACAAGGAAGGGGCCCCACGUAGGGAAGAACAAUUGUUCUGAGAGACUGUUAAUCACAAACAACCUGCUAGCCCCACAUCCUGUUCCCAAAUACUUUGCUCAGUAUGUAGCCCCAGCAGCAUGAGUUUGUCUGCAUGUAGACCCUCCAGCAUGACCCUAUAAAAUUUCCCUCCAGCUACUGCCUCUUGGCAGAUAGUCCCUUCUCU